UAGAGGCACAUUUGUUGACACACCUGCAGC
rnacentral:piRNA from 1 species